ACUAACACACGACCCGCGCUCGAACCGANCCUCACCGGGCGGAGUCACCGNCAGCCGCACNCCAACGCAAAACCUACACGGCCUUCAGCCGGGCCCNCGGUUGAAAACNNAACAACAACAACCCAGAACUCAUCAACGCACGACAAAACACUAACAAAACNCAAANGACAGCACCACAACAAACACAGCUCAGACAACCCCNCNAACACAACCACUCACGACCCACNCACACACAAACCAGAACCCUACAACCACCCAACCCACCAACAUACCCCCAAACAAACAACACNANCGACACACAAACANAAACCAAACAACAGAAAAAACAAACACCAAAACANAAACACCCCAACAAACCNCA
rnacentral:rRNA from 1 species